CUUUCCACCUAAGUUCAUCAUCAAUCCUAAGUUGCAAUCACUUCGUAUCUCCUAAUCGGAUCUCUCAACUGCAAGACUACUCUUACUAAUCGAUGAUGAAGAACUAUCGGAUAUCUCCGAUGACACCAAAGAUGCUAAUGACUGAAUCUGAUUCUCCUCGUCUCUCAUUGGCAAAACAUCGAACAGUGGAGACGAUUAUGGAUAAACAGAACUUUACGCUGGAAGAUCAACUCGAUAAAGAUGAAAUAAUUCAAGAGUGCAAAUCUCAGAACAUCCGCUUAAUUAAUUUGAUCACCCAUAAAUUAUAAGGAAGCUGGUUGAUCUUAUUGGAAUUACAUCAAUCAUGGAGGUUCACAUAUAGUUUACAUGGUCACUUUUCUUGUAUCCAAACUCAUGUUUAUUUUCAGGUGCUAAUUUGUUUGAUUAGUGUUGAUGAACAUUUUUAUACUAACUUCACAAGCUCCAUGAAGUGGCUAGAAAAUAAAUAUGUGCUGGAGAUGAUUGUGGACAAGUUCAAUUCAUCGGUGUGUUGAGUUGACUGUGAUAAUAUCCCUUUCAACUACAUGGAAUACGAAUAUCAUUAAAUAAGUUCUCGGUCUUAGAAAUUGUUGUCUUGACUGGCUGAUUUAAAAUCUAUCAACAAGAGUGUAUAUAUGAUUUGCCACAGCAACAAAGUUUGAUAAUCCCCCGCCGCAUAAGAAGUAAUCUCUUUUAGCUUUAUCUAAUUGCCUCCAUAAUUGUUCAUAUAAGUUGUGUUAAGUGUGUAAGUAGCUGGAUUAAGAUAACUUGUUAAUUGCAAUCUUGCACUUAUCUCCUUUUUCUAUAGAUUAAGUUUCUUGUUUCAUCUUGGGAGUAAAACAAAUGGCUUGAUUGUACCUUAUUGUCGGUAUAGUUUGUACGUAUAAUUUAACUUCAUGCUCUAGAUAUUAUGGUAUUAGUGAUGAUGUACUUGUAUCAAUAUGAAAUAUAUCUACUUAUUGAUUUCACGAUAAAGAGACUUGAUGAGUUAUGUCUUGAAAAGUAUCAGCAGUACAACCGAAGCUUGAUACAAUCGGGGAUCCUAAAAGGUGAGUGUCCUUUUAGUUGCAUUUCUUUUGAUCAUCCUGGGUUUGAGAACAGUUCUAUAAAUUACUAUUGGGUUCUAUGACUAGAGAUGAACUUGAUCCUUCGACAAUGAUUUAUCAUGUGAAAUUUACUUGUCAUCUUUAGUUCUAGUUGAGAUUUGAGAGUGUGCUGGUUAUGAAUAUUUACUAAGAAUAAAUUAGGAAAUUAGGAAAUCAACAUAUGAAGUUGUACAAUCUUGAAGUUGUACAUCGAUUGUUAAAGGGCGUUCCAUAGCGACGAAUGGAAGGCCAGAAGUUCCUAAGCAGCAAUCUCCAACUCCUUGGCGAACAACACGCUCUUAAGUUCAGCCAAUCCGAGCUCUUGAUCUCAACGAGUCUCAGGGUCCGACCACCAUUGAUUACCG